CCAAGUAGAGGUCUUUCACUGCCUUGGUUAAGUUUAUUCCUGGCAAUUUUAUUGAUUUUGGCACAAUUGUAAAUGAGAUUAUUUUCUUAAUUUCUCUUUCUGCCGCUUCAUUAUUAGUGUAUAGAAAUGCACCAGAUAUCUGUGCAUUGAUUUUGUAUCUUGUGACUUUACUGAAUUCAUUUAUCAAUUCUAGCAGUUUUUUGGUGGAAUCUUUUGGAUUUGUUAUCUGCAAAUAGUGAAAGUUUUAUUUCUUCCUUACCAAUUUACAUACCUUUUAUUUCUUUUUGCUGUCUGAUUGCUGUAGCUAGGACUUCCAGUAGUAUGUUGAAUAAAAGUGGUGAGAGUGGACAUCCUUGUUUUGUUCCAGAUAUUGGGGUAAAGCUCUCAUUUUUUCCCCAUUGAGUAUGAUGGUAGGUGUGGGUUUUUCAUAAAUGGCCUUUAUUAUUUCGAGGUGUGUUUUCUCUGAAUCUACUUUGUUGAGGGUUUUUAUCAUGAGUGGACGUUGUUACCUUGUCAGGUGAUUUUCUGCACUUGUUGAAAUGAUCAUGUGGUUUUUCUUGUUGAUGUGAAGUAUCACAUUGAUUGAUUUGUGAAUUUUGAGCCACUCUUGCAUCAAUAGGGAGUCAUGCUUCAGCAGUUAGUAUGGAAAACCUCUCCCAAAGGGUGAUAUUUAAGCUAAAACCUAAAACAUGAGCCAGCUGGAAAAGGGAGAGGAGAUAUAGGAGUAUUUCAGACAUAGGUAACAACAGGUACAAAGGAGCUGGGCAGGAAAAAUUUGGAUGAAAUAUAGAAACUGGACCAUGUGAAGAAAAUCAAAAUACGUGAGUGACUAAUGGAAGGGUGAUGUCUGAAACGUAAAAUGCUUUACUCCGUCUGCUAAAGGUACUGAAUUUGGCACUGAGAAAAAUGCAAGUAUUAACUGAAGAAGCCAAAGAGUUGCUUGGAUGGAAAAAUAAUUAUUUCUUUUCUUUUAACUUUUUUUAAUGUUUAUUCAUUUUUGAGAGAGAGAGAGAGCCUGAGUGAGGGAGGGGCAGAGAAAGAGGGGGACGCAGAAUCUGAAGCAGGCUCCAGGCUCUGAGCUGUCAGCCAGCGGCCCAAUGUGGGGCUCAAACUCACGAACCGUGAGAUCAUGACCUGAGCUGAAGUCGGACACUUAACUGACAGCUACCCAGGUACCCUAAAAAAUAAUUAUUUCUAUUCCUGUCUUCUUGUCACUUUAGAGUUUCCUAGAGGCUGAGUAUGAUGGUACUCUCACAAACCUUAAGAUCUACCAGCUGAAGGUGACUUCAGGGAUUUUCAAACAUCUUUUAUACCAAAAUCCAAGGGAUUGUUUUUAAAGCUUAUGUUGCCACUGGGAAUGAGUUCUUUAGAUUUUGAUUUUCUACAAAGAAAAGGAUACGAAAAUGGAAAGAAAGCAGGAGCUGAAAGAAUAGGAGAGAGAAGAGAAGGAGAAAUCAGAAAGGGAAAGAAGAAAACCAAGGACUGAUCCCUGGGAUGCUCCAAAAGUAAUAGGUCUUGGAGAAGAAAGAGUGCUAGCAUGAAGACUGAGAAGGAAUAAUCAGUGAGCCAGGAAGCAAAUGAAAAAGAGUAUGGUGUCCUGGAAGCCAUGUGAAGAAAAUAUAUUGAGGAAGAGGGAGUCAUCAGCCAUGCCACUGGAUUUACAGGCAGCUAAUGAAGUAAACCAACCCAGGGACUUCCUCUAGACUGGGAGGUGCUAACCAAGGGAGUUCUACAGAAAGCAUGCCUGGGGUGAGUGGCUUGGCCUAGCUUUUAGUCUGUCCACAUCAGAGGACGCAGUAUGGUGCCUCCCAGUCCUCAUCUGGCCCCCAGACCUUUUUGUUGUUGUUCUAAUAAAAUUUAAAAUCAUU